rnacentral:rRNA from 2 species
UCUGGUAUUGAUUGGUGCUUGCAUCAUGAUUUACAUUUGAGUGAGUGGCGAACUGGUGAGUAACACGUGGGAAACCUGCCCAGAAGCGGGGGAUAACACCUGGAAACAGAUGCUAAUACCGCAUAACAACUUGGACCGCAUGGUCCGAGUUUGAAAGAUGGCUUCGGCUAUCACUUUUGGAUGGUCCCGCGGCGUAUUAGCUAGAUGGUGAGGUAACGGCUCACCAUGGCAAUGAUACGUAGCCGACCUGAGAGGGUAAUCGGCCACAUUGGGACUGAGACACGGCCCAAACUCCUACGGGAGGCAGCAGUAGGGAAUCUUCCACAAUGGACGAAAGUCUGAUGGAGCAACGCCGCGUGAGUGAAGAAGGGUUUCGGCUCGUAAAACUCUGUUGUUAAAGAAGAACAUAUCUGAGAGUAACUGUUCAGGUAUUGACGGUAUUUAACCAGAAAGCCACGGCUAACUACGUGCCAGCAGCCGCGGUAAUACGUAGGUGGCAAGCGUUGUCCGGAUUUAUUGGGCGUAAAGCGAGCGCAGGCGGUUUUUUAAGUCUGAUGUGAAAGCCUUCGGCUCAACCGAAGAAGUGCAUCGGAAACUGGGAAACUUGAGUGCAGAAGAGGACAGUGGAACUCCAUGUGUAGCGGUGAAAUGCGUAGAUAUAUGGAAGAACACCAGUGGCGAAGGCGGCUGUCUGGUCUGUAACUGACGCUGAGGCUCGAAAGUAUGGGUAGCAAACAGGAUUAGAUACCCUGGUAGUCCAUACCGUAAACGAUGAAUGCUAAGUGUUGGAGGGUUUCCGCCCUUCAGUGCUGCAGCUAACGCAUUAAGCAUUCCGCCUGGGGAGUACGGCCGCAAGGCUGAAACUCAAAGGAAUUGACGGGGGCCCGCACAAGCGGUGGAGCAUGUGGUUUAAUUCGAAGCUACGCGAAGAACCUUACCAGGUCUUGACAUACUAUGCAAAUCUAAGAGAUUAGACGUUCCCUUCGGGGACAUGGAUACAGGUGGUGCAUGGUUGUCGUCAGCUCGUGUCGUGAGAUGUUGGGUUAAGUCCCGCAACGAGCGCAACCCUUAUUAUCAGUUGCCAGCAUUAAGUUGGGCACUCUGGUGAGACUGCCGGUGACAAACCGGAGGAAGGUGGGGAUGACGUCAAAUCAUCAUGCCCCUUAUGACCUGGGCUACACACGUGCUACAAUGGAUGGUACAACGAGUUGCGAACUCGCGAGAGUAAGCUAAUCUCUUAAAGCCAUUCUCAGUUCGGAUUGUAGGCUGCAACUCGCCUACAUGAAGUCGGAAUCGCUAGUAAUCGCGGAUCAGCAUGCCGCGGUGAAUACGUUCCCGGGCCUUGUACACACCGCCCGUCACACCAUGAGAGUUUGUAACACCCAAAGUCGGUGGGGUAAC